rnacentral:rRNA from 1 species
CAGGUCUUGACAUCCUCUGACACUCCUAGAGAUAGGACGUUCCCUUCGGGGACAGAGUGACAGGUGGUGCAUGGUUGUCGUCAGCUCGUGUCGUGAGAUGUUGGGUUAAGUCCCGCAACGAGCGCAACCCUUGAUCUUAGUUGCCAGCAUUUAGUUGGGCACUCUAAGGUGACUGCCGGUGACAAACCGGAGGAAGGUGGGGAUGACGUCAAAUCAUCAUGCCCCUUAUGACCUGGGCUACACACGUGCUACAAUGGAUGGUACAAAGGGCAGCGAAGCCGUAAGGUGGAGCCAAUCCCAUAAAACCAUUCUCAGUUCGGAUUGUAGGCUGCAACUCGCCUACAUGAAGCUGGAAUCGCUAGUAAUCGCGGAUCAGCAUGCCGCGGUGAAUACGUUCCCGGGCCUUGUACACACCGCCCGUCACACCACGAGAGUUUGCAACACCCGAAGUCAGUGGGGUAACCUUUAUGGAGCCAGCUGCCUAAGGUGGGGUAGAUGAUUGGGGUG